AGCGCAGACGGCGAAGCAAGUCUGAAGUGAAAUGCAUGGGCUCAACCCAUGAAUUGCUUUGGAAACUGUUUGGCUUGAGUGUCGGAGGGGUAAGCGGAAUUCCUAGUGUAGCGGUGAAAUGCGUAGAUAUUAGGAGGAACACCGGAGGCGAAGGCGGCUUACUGGACGACAACUGACGUUGAGGCUCGAAAGCGUGGGGAGCAAACA
rnacentral:rRNA from 1 species